UGCCGCGCCCCAACGGCUGCCGCGCACCGCGCAUGCGUGGGGCUGCCCGCCCCCCCCCCGCUGGGGCACCAUGGGAGCGCCCGGGGCAUCAUGGGAGCAUCCAGAGCAUCAUGGGAGCGCCCGGGGCAUCAUGGGAGUGCCUGGAGCAUCAUGGGAGCAUCCAGAGCAUCAUGGGAGCGCCCGGGGCAUCAUGGGAGUGCCCAGGGCCUCAUGGGAGUGACAUGGGGCAUCAUGGGAGCACCCAGGGCAUCAUGGGAGUGAGGUGGGGCAUCAUGGGAUGCUCCCACUUGGCAUGCCCCACCCUGGGGCUGAUGGGAGCUGCUGCCCCAGAGGCUCAUGGGAGCCACUGCCCCGCAGGUGAUGCCGCGUGGAUGGAGGCCCCCCGCGGGGACCAGGCUGAGCUGAUGACCCCCGACCCCAGGGCGCCCGGACGCCUGGACCCCCCCGCGGCCACGCCCCCAGGCGGCCCCCGGACCCCCGGCCCCGGGCUCAAGCGCCGCCCCGACGCCUGUGACUGGGAGCCGGCCCCCAAGCAGGCCGUGUCGGAGGCGCUGGCGGCCGCCCGGCUCCAGGCCCUCGGCCUCCACCACGACCACGGCUACAGCGG
rnacentral:lncRNA from 1 species